GGACCCCACUGCUAUCGGGGUGGGACUAAUGCAUGCAAGUUUGUGUCUUCAAGCUAUGGAGAAGACACAGCAGACCGCUCAGUAACACGUAGCCAACCUGCCCUCGGGACGGGGAUAACCCCGGGAAACUGGGGCUAAUACCCGAUAGGUGAGAAGGCCUGGAAUGGUUUCUCACCUAAAAGUUGCGGAACCAUGCUUCCAGCACCGCCCGAGGAUGGGGCUGCGGCCGAUCAGGUAGCUGGCGAGGUAACGGCUCACCAAGCCUUUAACCGGCUCGGGCCGUGAGAGCGGUAGCCCGGAGAUGGGCACUGAGACUAGGGCCCAGGCCCUACGGGGCGCAGCAUAUACGAAAACUCCGCAAUGCGCUCAAGCGCGACGGGACUACCCCGAGUGCUGUCCGCUGAGGAUAGAUUUUCUCUGGUGUAAUGAGCCGGAGGAAUAAGGGGAGAGCAAGCCUGGUGUCAGCCGCCGCGGUAAUACCAGCUCCCCGAGUGGUGGGGAUGAUUAUUGGGCCUAAAGCGUCCGUAGCUGGCUCGGCAAGUCUUCCGUUAAAUCCAACGAUCUAAUCGUUGGACUGCGGGAGAUACUGCGGAGCUAGGGGGCGGAAGAAGCCGACGGAACUCGUGGGGUAGGGGUGAAAUCCUAUAAUCCUAUGAGGACCACCAGUGGCGAAGGCGGUCGGCUAGAACGCGCCCGACAGUGAGGGACGAAAGCUGGGGGAGCGAACCGGAUUAGAUACCCGGGUAGUCCCAGCUGUAAACGAUGCGGGCUAGGUGUUGGGGUGGCUACGAGCCACUUCAGUGCCGCAGGGAAGCCAUUAAGCCCGCCGCCUGGGGAGUACGGCCGCAAGGCUGAAACUUAA
rnacentral:rRNA from 1 species